UUGAGGAUUUCGUAUCAGUUGGUGUUUUGGGGCUAAAAGUUAUUCAUUCGAUUCUCCCGAGUACCGAUAGUUACUUUUUGCGGAUUUUAUUUGGAGGGAGGACUGGUAAAGUGAAAUGGAAUUUUUUGGAUUUUGAUUUGUCCAACUGCAUUUUGCUGAGUCGCCUGGAAGUUUUGUUUCGUCCGUAGAAGGAGCGUCGUGCGGUCUCUCCCGUGAAAGAACGUAGUACUCGCUUUUUUUUGUAAAAAACUGCAGAGAACGUGACUCCAAUCCAGACAGAUUUUAACCCUGACCUUAAUUCGAAUGUAAUUACAUCGGUUUCAAGACGUGGGCGGGUUUACCGUCUUAUCAGAAUGUCCUGAGAAAGUUCACAAUGUCGCGUCUGAAGAAGUAAUAUUCGUAGAAUUCCUAUCUUUCCAUCAUUCAAGCUCGAUAAAGACUCGGUGCUACAAGUGGAAAAUCGAAUUAACCAAUUUGAGUGUGUUGGUGGAUGAUAGUAAAAAUUCUGGUAUUCAUCGGAUCGGAAGUGUAUCGCUCAUCGUGAAAGCAGAAUUACGGCGAGAGAGAAGACCACCCGGAGAAGCAACGAGGACAGAUAGCGUAGUACGCCACUUCAACCAUCACAUUAAGGAGCAGCAUACACCCCAUUUAUUCGAAACUACAAUGGAUGUAUCUGGACUACCAUAGCCGCCACCUAGCCUAGAAUAUCGCGGUGAUACGACUCAGAUACUUGUAAGAUUUUCAGAACUUGCCACGACCAUGGUGAAAAAUUGAUGGCGAGAAAAAUCAAAAGUGAUCACUACAACUCUAUAACGCUUACGAAUGCCUAAAAAUGUCAUGAUAUAGAAUUUUACAUUCAAACUUAUAACGAAAAACUGCGAACUUUAAUAAAAACAAAAAUGUGUUCAAAACUAUAAAUAGUGUUCAGUGCUAGUAAAAAAUUCAGUGGCUCUAAUCUAAACGAAAUCAAAAUUAAACAAUAGAAAUGAGUGGUCUUGGACCAGCAGCAUGUUGGCUUGCCCACAAACGCCUAGAAUCCUGGUCUCGAAUGGCCAAAGAGCGUGUUGGGGCUGUCCGACGAGCAGCAGCCGAAAGGAACUCCGAGGAUAAUCCAUCAACCCCACCGCCACUGACGCCCUCAUCGGUGUCGUCGAAUACAAGUGGCGGCGGGAGUGGCGGAAGUGGUAGCGGAAGCUACGAACUAACAACCGAUUCAAAUUCAUCGUUAGAGGAAUGUAAUCUUGCGCGUGAACCGCAUGCUAUUCAACCAUUAGCAUCGGUCCCGGCCCAUACAGUUAACACGGAGAUGUUACGUGGACCACUAGAAGUGACGCCGAGUCCCCUGCACACGCAUUUGCAACACCAAAGUAAAUCGUUUCCUCCACGCUUAACACGAACACCAUCUGUAUCUAGUCAAAGUAGUGUAGAUAGUGCUCCUUCUAGACAAUCAGGUCAUCGAGGUUCAUCUCCCCAAAUAAGGACUUUUGGACCAGACGGGCGUACUUCAAUCCCACCCGAUCAUGGAAUGAUGCAUGCCUCACGAUCACCUAGUCCAUUACGUGCUAUAAGCCUUGACGCCCGAUGUUCCUCGCCUGGAUCAACUGAUGUUAGUGAUAUACGAACCCCAAGCCCGUCUCAAAGCAGUCUAGCUUCAAUAGUAGGCGGUAGUGCUAGCAGUGUUUGCCUACAAAGUCCAAAGAUUGGUAGAUGUCUUUCACCCUUAUUGAUUCCUCCUCGAAUACCGCCUGGUGUCGAAGCAGGCUGCGGUCCUGCGUCACCACUAGGGGCACUCCAACCUGAUCUCUACACUAGGCAAGAAGGACCAAUCUAUUUGACUGCGCCAGAGUUGAGCCCCGCUUUAGGAAGGCUACACUUACGCAUUAAAUAUGACUACCAUCUUUUCGAUUUGGCUGUGCAUUUAAUUGAAGCUCAUAACCUUUGUCCUAUCGAAGAUGGCGGGUUCCGCGAUCCUUACGUCAGACUUAUGCUGGAGCCGGAAGUGGAUCAGAGAAAAAGGCAAACGUCUAUCCAUCGUGGCGAAUCGAAUCCAUAUUUUGAUCAACAUUUCAAGUUCCCAGUUUCCCGUGAUCAACUGUCAGGGAAACAACUUAUCUUGCAAGUCCUGGACUACGAUCGAUACUCGCAUAAUGACAUAAUUGGCGAAGUGAGAGUUUCCAUUGAUGAUAUUGAUCUAUCCAAAUCGGUUGAGAUAUGGGGUGAUGUGUUGAGAGUGAAAAAGCCGCCUGAGGAUCGUCCGGAGAUUUUGAUUUCACUGAACUUCUUACCGCAGGCAGAACGACUUACUGUGGUUAUUAUGAAGGCCAAGAACUUGGAUACGGUGCAAGAGCCAUACGUGAAGCUCUAUCUAAUCCAAAAUGGAAAACGUGUCAAGAAGAAGAAAACCAGCAAUGGAAAAUCAAACGACCCAACAAAUCCCAUAUGGAAUGAGGCAUUCAACUUCAGUGUACCUACAUCUGCUGUAAACUCAACAGGAAUUGAGAUUUACGUUGUAUCGACCGGAGGUGAAGCCAAUGCAAUCGGCAGUUGCGGUCUCGGCCUACAAGAGCAUGGCCCCGGAAAGCAGCACUGGCAGGAUAUGAUCCACAACGCACGGAAACCCACAGCCAUGUGGCACUAUCUCAGAUAAGUUGCAAAUUCCACCAAGGACUACAUAGAAACGUAAGACAUAAGGAAUCAAGCCAGAGCAACCCGAAGGGAAUUAGUUAUUCGUGUAUUGACCAGAUAGACCAAAGUGACGGAGCAAAAUCGACCACAGGGAUCCUGCGGACUUAGGGAAAAUUUUAUAUACUACAAACAGUUCCAGUAGAGACGGAAUAUUUUUAAGGAAGAUAUAGGGAGCGAACUGAAUAUACAUCCUUCAAAGGCCAUCCAUGAAAUAAUGAAUAUUCAAUAGAUACUUCUAAAUUAACACUUUUCGAACUUGUUACAAUUUAUAUUAUUCUACAACUACAUAUACACUGCGGUACACUCUUGAUGAAUUUACUCAAUUUUCGAGCACAACAGGUUUUCAACACUGACAAAAUAAAAGAUAAAACAGAAACUUGGAACGCAACCACCUAAGAUUAUACAUUCUAUAUUCUACUAUCUAAUAUUUUUUAACAAACAAAAGAUAUAUAUUUAACAAAUAAAUUUACAAAAAUAGUUAUAUGAAUGAAAAAAAAACCUAUAAAUGGUCUAAAUAAAUAGUUAAUAAUAUAUAAAAUAUAAAAAUAUUGAAAUAUAUAAAUAUUAAAGAAUAAAAUAUAAAUUAACAAUUAUUCUAGACGAAAUAUACCUAUUUAUUGCGCAAGAGGAAAAUAUAUAAAAAUUAGUUGAAAUGAGAUAGUAUAAAAUCUGUUGUAAAAAUGAUAAACUACGAAGGAAAUGUUAUGUAUAUUGUCUGUCGCUAAUUAUAAAGAAAAUAAAUUAUUUAAAUAACGUACCGACUUAA
rnacentral:misc_RNA from 1 species